GUGUGGGCGGCGCAGGGCCGCGGGACCGUGGGAAAGUCCUUGGCUCCUGUCAUGCCCUCACCGAGCAGCAGAAGUUGCUGUGCCGCCUUCUCCCUUCGCCUCAUUGUCAGUCCCUCUGUUAAUAUCAGCCCUAAUAUCGGUUCCCCUGCAGUGAACCCAGCAUAUCUGGAUUAAAACUAAAAGCACAAGUUGCCAGUUCCCUGGUUCUUUAGUUACACUCACAUGUAAAUACUUGUUUCUUUAACCUCUGACUCCUGGAAGCUUGACAACCAAAUAGAAGUUACAAGUUGUUAACGUCCAGAUGACUCAUGCUGGGCUCCCACUAAAGUUAUGGCUAAUCACAGGAACUUGAAGUUCUUUCAUAGAGAAACUAAUGUCCAGAGAAUAUCAAGAAAUCAAAGCUGCCCGUGUCCAACUCCUUGGCUUCCUGACGUCAGAGUCUACCUCCACCAUGGAGAUAAACAGCCAAGGACACUCAUCUGAGAAGUCUUUGUCUCCUCCAUUGGAAGCAGCCCCAGACACAGGCUGAUGGGAAAAUGCUGACCAAGAAGUCCUGGACCCCAUCCCCUACCUAAAACCCCAAAUAAAAACCCCUACUUGUUUCUUAACGGGGGGCAAGCAAAUUUUGAGGCACUAGCCUUUACUUUGCUCCCUCUGUCUGGCAAAGUAAAGCCUUCCCUUUUUCACCCAAUACUCUGGUCUCAUUAUGUGGAUUGGCAUCCGGCUCAGAGAUGGAACUUUUGGUAACAAACACUUCCUGGAGUUCUGAGCUCAAGCCCACCUGCUGGGUCUAUUCCUUGCUAAAAUCCACAGGCCUCAGACUCUUCCUAAGGCACCAUCACCACCUGGGUUUAGUUUUCCCUUCUGAUAUCACUAUCUUCGUUGCUUACCUUCUUGGGCCUCAGCUUCCACCUAUGUGCAACUGGGAUUAACCAUGAAAGUGUUUGUGACUCCACUCUGGACAAAUUACAGUUUGUAGGUGAACUGAUGACUGGAGACUUACCCAGUUGGAUAUAUUACAUUUGCCGUUUCCUUCUUCUCCACUUAGAACUGCCUAGUACUUGCCGCUUUGGGGAGCAGCUCACAUUAGGAAACCUUCUUAAAAAUAAAGAUGGCGCUCUAAAACACUUGCCAGAAGGUGGCGACAGAAGCCCUUUUUGCCCAGAUCUGUCCCAGGUGCUGAACCCAGUUUUGGAGCUGAAGAGAAACUGCGGGGCCAGAGACCAGGGAUUCCACCAAGUUCUCCCUAGAGGUUUGCAAGCUCUGGUAAGAAAAACAAAAGACCGCAUAAAAUGCCCGAUCUCAUUUACGGCACAUAGGCAAAAGAUCCCCUUCCCUAAAUUUACUCGCCACAGAGCCAGGGGAGAUGGCAAUAUUCACUGAAAUUAAGAGUAUGGUGACGGAAAGGCGUGUGUGUGUGUGUGUGUGUGCGCGCGUGUCUGCGCGGGCGCAAGUGUAUGUGCGUGUGUAUGCAGAAUACAUACCGAAUUGGAUUUUUCCUUAACUUUGAGAUGCAGCUGUUUACCUGUCCUUUGACAUGUCCUUUAUAAUUCCUUCCUCCCCCAGUUCUCCAAGGUUAAAAAAGAAAGUCAAAGGCGACAUCCUCCACAAAGGAGUCACGCUGGACUGCGCGAUGAUGAGGACCGGGGAGGGGGUGGGGGGUGUUUAAAAGCUAAGAAACACUCUGUCUUCUUUCCAUCAAUUAACAAUAAUUUGCAGACUGACCCAGGGCUGUCCACCUCCCCAUUCAGGCUCGGUGUGCCUCCUUUUCUCAUUUCUUAUUGCCACUCUGUGUGGCUGACUCUACUUAAGAAUUUCACAGAAAUAUGAAGCAAUGGGUAGUGAGAAUUUUUUUCUCUCGAGUUUGGCUGGGUGGGAGGCGGAGUUAUUUGUUGUAAUGUUGGUCUGACCGGCGAUCAGGUGUAUGUAAGCGAGUUCUGAGUCUCUGUCAACAAAAAGGGGCUUGAAAGCAAAGAUGAUGAGGUAGAGGGAGAGAAGGGCGGGGACGCAGAGGAAAGAUAAUCAAGGUUGGGGAAGCGUUAAGAGGGGAGGGUUAGCGUGGGAGGAGGGGAGACUGGCUGUCGGAUCUACUCACAGGAGGGAUAAAGAAAGGAGAGUGAGAGGGGAGAGGGGGACUAAAAGGGAAGGCUGCUAGGGAGAAAGGAGAAGGAGGAGGCUUAAGAGAAAGAAAAGAGAGGAGGAGAGAGUGUGAGAGAGGGAGGGAGAGAAGAGGGGAGAGGAGGGUCACAGAGUGACCGGGGAGGAUGGGGUUUUUCUAUUCCAGAUACUUCUAGGCUUGGAGACUGUUUGCCAGUGGGGAAGCUCCGGCUCCGGCAGCCAGUUGGGCAGCGGCAAAGUAAAAUGGACAGCGAGAAACAGAAGU
rnacentral:lncRNA from 1 species